CAGCAACCAAAUAAUUCACAAUUACAGGCAGUGAAGGCAGAAGAGGAGGACCUGAACAUCUCCAAGAGAUUUGCAGGAGGAAGUUAAAAAAAUGAAGCCCCUCAACACCAAUGUCUCUCAGGAGGAAGAUGUGGGUGCAAUGUUUCUGGUGUCAGCUGUGCCACCACCCCCAAACUCCCAAGCUGUUUGGGGAAGUAAGGUCCUAAACUGAAGACAUGACAGAUGGUGUUGGUGGUUGAUGAAAUUAAACCACAGCCUUGUUCUGCAGAACCAGACAGAAAUCUAACAUGUCUCUGUACCUUGGACAAGUCAAAAUUAAGUGUUUCCAACCUCAAACUGCACACUGGUACUUCUCCAAUGCUGUUACCAGUUCAGGCAUUGAUGUCAGAGUACCUAGCACAGCAGCACUCUGGUUCAUCCAUGAUGUUCCCAGGCAUGGUCCCAAAACAAACAAGAAGUUGCAAAUCAGCAAUCUGAAUCACCCACUAAAAUGAAGAGGAGUGUGGCUUUGUUUCCAUUGGAGCAGAAGCACUCUGUAUCAUUUCCAGAUCAAGAAGCAGACUCCAGGAGGUCCAAAUUCUUUGGCCUGGCUACCAGACCUCAGCUGGCUGACAUUAGGGGCACAGUACAGCUGGGUUAAUAUUCACAAUUCAUGUAAAGAAGUUUAGUCACACAGUGCUGUUUGUGACCCCCUCCCACGCUAGCAGCAGCCCUGUGAGGGUGUAGCUGGCACAACAUCAGUCACCAGGACCCUGCACCAGGCAGCACUGGUGAAACUCCCUGCAGACAGCAGGAAAAGGCUGUGAACAGUCCUUUGAGGUCAUGUUGUUCAUGAGACCCAUGUCUGGAAAUAAACAACCAGCCAUUCACA
rnacentral:lncRNA from 1 species